GAUGAACGCUGGCGGCGUGCCUAAUACAUGCAAGUCGAGCGAACAGACGAGGAGCUUGCUCCGCGGACGUUAGCGGCGGACGGGUGAGUAACACGUGGAUAACCUACCUAUAAGACGGGGAUAACUUCGGGAAACCGGAGCAAAUACCGGAUAAUAUAUUGAACCGCAGGGGUGAAUGGUGAAAGACGGUGUUGCGGUCACUUAUAGAGGGAUCCGCGCCGCAUGGGCUAGUUGGUAAGGUAACGGCCUACCAAGGCGACGAUGCGUAGCCGACCUGAGGGGGUGGUCGCCCACCCUGGAGCUGGGCCGGGGUCCAGGCUCCUACGGGAGGCCCCAGUAGGGAAUCUUCCGCAAUGGGCGAGAGCCUGACGGAGCAGCCCCGCGUGAGUGAUGAAGGUCUUCGGUUCGUAAAACCCUGUUAUUAGGGAAGAACAACUGUGUAAGUAACUAUGCACGUCUUGACGGUACCUAAUCAGAAAGCCCCGGCUAACUACGUG
rnacentral:rRNA from 1 species